AAGGGGUACUAAUUAUUCAUAAGUAUAAAUAUACUUAACUGUACUUUAUUUUAUUACGAAAAUCAUAAAACCAGUUAAAACCGAGAAAUUCCCGAGAGAGUUCUUCGUGUUCUUGAGAUUCAAACGAGGAUUUGGACGCGUUAUCGGACACGGAUUUUGGCGUUCAAGGGCUCAAAUUGAAGGUUUUAACAAGUAGAAUCAUAAUCUAGCAUCAAAAUCAGUGCAGCAACAUCAGAGAAGCCAGGCGUAUUAGAGGGGGAAAGCAAGUGGAUAUAGAAUAGUAUAUCGAGCAGGAGCGAUUGAAAUUUGAAAUCGUCAGUAUAAGUGAAAGCAGAGAAGGUUGGUAACGAUGAUACUCAGGCUAGUGGUAAGGCCAGGAUUCCAGGCUGAGAGAUGGAGA